rnacentral:rRNA from 1 species
AUUGAACGCUGGCGGCAGGCCUAACACAUGCAAGUCGAACGAGUGGCGGACGGGUGAGUAAUGUCUGGGAAACUGCCCGAUGGAGGGGGAUAACUACUGGAAACGGUAGCUAAUACCGCAUACCAUCGGAUGUGCCCAGAUGGGAUUAGCUAGUAGGUGGGGGAAUGGCUCACCUAGGCGACGAUCCCUAGCUGGUCUGAGAGGAUGACCAGCCACACGGAGACUGAGGCACGAUCAAGACUCCUACGGGCGGCAGCAGGGGGAAAUAUUGCACGAUGGGCGCAAGCCUGAUGCAGCCAUGCCGCGUGUAUGAAGAAGGCCUUCGGGUUGUAAAGUACUUUCAGCGAGGAGGCGUUACUCGCAGAAGAAGCACCGGCUAACUCCGUGCCAGCAGCCGCGGUAAUUC